CGCCCACGCAGACAGCCUGGGGGACGUGCUCCUGCUGUGGGAAGCGCGACUGUGGUGCGAGGGUCCUCCUGCUCACCUGCUGUGGCUGUGCCUCCGAACCCCACUGUGCCCACGGUCUCAGGCCGCGCCAGCUCAGGGUUCCAGAAGGUUCAAGUUCCUGUGAGAAAUGAUGCUUCUCUGUGCCUUGCUCCUAGCCGUUGGUUGGCCAUUGGUCAGCAAUCAAAAUAUAUCAACUUGGACCUACAGUUUGAAAUGCCAUGAUUGUUCGGUCAUCAACACCUUCAACUGUCCAACUAUACGGGUAUGUCCCUAUGAAGUCAGGCGCUGUCUGAUAGUCUCU